GCGGGCAGGGCUGCAUCCAGAGGCCUGUGUUUUUAGGUCAGCCUGAUGCUGGUGGGUGGGGCUGUGUCCCACACCAGUUAAUUGCUUGGCCUGAGGCGUCCCAGCACUGGCCCUAGCAGGCUGUCGGGCGAGUCCAGGUCUUGUCGCUAAGGAGCUGGAGGCCGGCAUCAGUCUCCCUCAGUGGAAGGAGCUCCCAAAUAUGGCUGCUGCCAGGAUGAGCCCUAGUCUCCUCGCCUCACCCGGGGACCUUCCAAGACCAGCAGGUGGCUUGAUCAGAGAGUGAUGCAAGACUUCUGUAGCCAUCUUGUGUCCAUGAGGAGAGCCAGACCAGGGACAAAGUGGACAUGCAGGGAUGGACACAGAGGAGUAGGUCCAGACCCCUGGAGGCAUCCCAUCAGUGCACCCUCCCCCUGGGCUUCCCAUGAGAGAUGGGGAUCUGAGGUCCGGGACCGAAACAACAUGCCUGAGCCAUGUGACAGCGUGUCCUCCUGCACCGGGUUCCAGAUCCUAGAGAAAAGGGCUCAGAAGUGCCCGACAAACCCUCCUACCAGGCUCAAGGCCCCUCCUCCAAUAAGACAUCUUCCCACAGAAUCACAUCUCUGUUAAGCAGGACACCUGGGGACAAGGUUCCAGAUUGUAGGGACCCCACUGGGAUGGGGGCUUGUGGAAGAGCUGGGGGUCCGAGAGCUCCCAGAAGGAGGAGAAGGGAAUCCAAGUGGUGAAGAACAUGGGCUUUGGAGCUGGACAGAGGGGUUCGAGUCCCAGCUGCUCCACUUCCUCACCUGAGAACCGUGGAUUCUCCACCGCAUUCCUCUAAGCCUCUGUGUUCUUACCCGUGAAGUGGGGAUGACAGUGGUACCUGCUUCACAGAGCUGCUGCAAUGAUUAA